rnacentral:rRNA from 1 species
GAUGAACGCUGGCGGCGUGCCUAAUACAUGCAAGUCGAGCGAACAGACGAGGAGCUUGCUCCUCUGACGUUAGCGGCGGACGGGUGAGUAACACGUGGAUAACCUACCUAUAAGACUGGGAUAACUUCGGGAAACCGGAGCUAAUACCGGAUAAUAUAUUGAACCGCAUGGUUCAAUAGUGAAAGACGGUUUUGCUGUCACUUAUAGAUGGAUCCGCGCCGCAUUAGCUAGUUGGUAAGGUAACGGCUUACCAAGGCAACGAUGCGUAGCCGACCUGAGGGGGUGAUCGGCCACUGGAACUGAGACACGGUCCAGACUCCUACGGGAGGCAGCAGUAGGGAAUCUUCCGCAAUGGGCGAAAGCCUGACGGAGCAACGCCGCGUGAGUGAUGAAGGUCUUCGGAUCGUAAAACUCUGUUAUUAGGGAAGAACAAAUGUGUAAGUAACUAUGCACGUCUUGACGGUACCUAAUCAGAAAGCCACGGCUAACUACGUG